rnacentral:antisense_RNA from 1 species
UCUAUCCAAGCUCCAGCUCCCUCUGCCAUUCUCCUGCCUCAGAACAGGGAAAAGGUGCUCUGAAGCUGCGCUCCCUUCCACUCAGCCAGAGAAGACCAGCAGACCAGGGGCCAGAAGGCAGAGAAAUGCAUGCAAGUGGCUCCUCCCUGCAAAUCAGAACAUCUGACCCUGGCCCAGCACCGGAAUCCUGUCCCGGAUGUGGUCUCAACAGCACAGCCUUGGAGCAAACCCAGGGAGCUCGAAUGAGUGACGGUCCUGGUGUGGGUUCAGCCAUAACCUCCAGGACAGAUGGGAGCAGGCACUUCUAAAGGGUGGCCCUUCCGAGAGGGAAAGGCCUGGAGCCUUACGCUGGAGCAUGCUCACUCUGGGGGUCUAGCGCCGAGUCCCGGGUCCUGAGGGACACACUGUGAGCCUGGAGUUGGUGACGGCUGGGGACAUACUGUGAGCCUGGAGCUGAUGACAGCUGGAACCGGACGGUGCACUGUGAGCCUGGAGCUGGUGACGGCUGGGGACAUACUGUGAGCCUGGAGCUGGUGGCUGCUGGAGACAUACUGUGAGCCUGGAGCUGGUGACGGCUGGAACCAGACAUU